rnacentral:rRNA from 1 species
AACGUGCCCAGUCGUGGGGGAUAACGCAGCGAAAGCUGUGCUAAUACCGCAUACGAUCUACGGAUGAAAGCGGGGGAUCGCAAGACCUUGCGCGAUUGGAGCGGCCGAUAUCAGAUUAGGUUGUUGGUGGGGUAAAAGCCCACCAAGCCGACGAUCUGUAGCUGGUCUGAGAGGACGACCAGCCACACUGGAACUGAGACACGGUCCAGACUCCUACGGGAGGCAGCAGUGGGGAAUUUUGGACAAUGGGCGCAAGCCUGAUCCAGCAAUGCCGCGUGCAG